rnacentral:lncRNA from 1 species
GUCCUUACGAGAAGCCUUCUUUUUCAGCUGGCUGGCACGAGACCACGGCCAUCAUAUCCAGUGACAUGCAGUACAGCAGUAUGUUGUCCUUCCUGUAAGGAGCUCAGAAAAUGAGAAACAGACUGCGUUCAAGUAGGGACAGCAGUUUAUGUGGCCAAGUGGCUGAAGCACGUGGCAGCAGUGCUGCUGUGAAGCAGAAUCUGGAUGUGAGCUGAUUUCUCCCUCUUCUCCACAUGCAAGACUUACUUAGGGCCCAAGCACAAGCAGGCUGGGGGAGUGUGGAUGCUUGGGCAGCCAGGGCUCCAGGAUCGGGUGAGGGCGAGCACCCAGCAAUGUGGAGGCACUGCAGGAAGGACGCACCUUUCACCCAUCUGGCAGAAGAGGUGGCAGACGGUCCCCAGAUUCUUCAGCUGGUGCUGCUUUCUUCUCUCCUUCAACUUCUGCUUUUCCCUACGUUACACAUUACAUUUCUGAAGCAUAUGAUGAAUGGGAUGCUGUGCAGCUGA